GUAAUUUAUGGACAGCACCAGUGAGAAACUGGUGCUGUCCAUAAAGCAUUUGCACGUGAUUUGUUUUUAAAAUUUAAAAUAUUAUAAGAUGAUUUGUUUAAUUUCACGUGACAGAAGCAAACGAUAGUUGGAAAUGAACUUUGGCACGAAGCCAACAACACGUGGUUGAAACACGUGUUGAAACCACGGUUCAAAGUUAAAAAUUUCAGUUCAUAUAGGGAGAAGUUACAAUGAAAGUUGCCUCUGUGUGAUUUAAAAUAAGGUGUGAGUGUUAAUGGUUUCAUAUAACAGACAUUCGGACAAUCAAUUACUUCGUAGAUGAUGUCAACAUAUUUAACGAUGAUAGAAGGGCUUCUCCCAACUGAUACUACAUUAGAAAAGUAAAGUUUGAGUAAGAUGAAAUUGUAAACAAAGAAAAUAUACUGGAAAAGAGGAAUCCGUGAUACAAAUGGAAGCUUCCACAUCUCAAAUGGAAAUUUCUGCAAUGCAAAUGGAAACAGUCGCAAAUGAUUUAGAAACAAAUUUGAUAGAGAAUAUAUUAAAGUCUAUCCCUUGUCAAAGCUUAGAUUUAACGAAUGAAAAUCUUUCAAAACCAGUUGUCGUUAAAACUUACAAGGACAAAUAGGAAAUCAAUAUUAUAUAUUCAGUGAUGAACAGAAGAUAAAAUCCAGAAAAUAAAAGGGCAAGAUAGUCAUGAACUGAUUUUGUCUUAUAGAAGAACAAAUAAAGAAGAAAUUUAUUAACAGCUCGAUUUCGUAUAAUUAAUAAUUAAAUAAUAUUAUUCAUAAUUUUAAGUGUUUUCUUUUAAUAUUAGUGAGAAAACAAAUUGAUAGUGAAAAUGAAGGGGAAGGAAAGGAAGAAGAGAUUUCAAAGCGAGCUUUUUCAAUUACACCAUCCAAGCCAUCCACUUCUAUAAUUAAUAUUAUUAUUAUUGUAUCAGUCUUAUUUGCUGUUAUAUGCAAUAUAAUAAUUAAGAUAUUUCGAACAAGAUUAAAUAAUGAAGGUAU